rnacentral:rRNA from 1 species
UGGGGAAUAUUGGACAAUGGGGGAAACCCUGAUCCAGCAAUGCCGCGUGAGUGAAGAAGGCCUUAGGGUUGUAAAGCUCUUUCGCCCGCGAAGAUAAUGACGGUAGCGGGAGAAGAAGCCCCGGCUAACUCCGUGCCAGCAGCCGCGGUAAUACGGAGGGGGCUAGCGUUGUUCGGAAUUACUGGGCGUAAAGAGUGCGUAGGCGGUUUUCUAAGUUCGGUGUGAAAUCUCCCGGCUUAACUGGGAGGGUGCGCCGAAGACUGGGAAGCUGGAGUGUGGGAAAGGCAGGCGGAAUUCCUGGUGUAGCGGUUAAAUGCGUAGAUAUCAGGAGGAACACCGGCGGUGUAGACGGCCUGCUAAACCAUAACUGACGCUGAGGCACGAAAGCGUGGGUAGCAAA